rnacentral:rRNA from 1 species
GCUGACGAGUGGCGGACGGGUGAGUAAUGUCUGGGAAACUGCCUGAUGGAGGGGGAUAACUACUGGAAACGGUGGCUAAUACCGCAUAACGUCGCAAGACCAAAGAGGGGGACCUUCGGGCCUCUUGCCAUCAGAUGUGCCCAGAUGGGAUUAGCUUGUUGGUGAGGUAACGGCUCACCAAGGCGACGAUCCCUAGCUGGUCUGAGAGGAUGACCAGCCACACUGGAACUGAGACACGGUCCAGACUCCUACGGGAGGCAGCAGUGGGGAAUAUUGCACAAUGGGCGCAAGCCUGAUGCAGCCAUGCCGCGUGUAUGAAGAAGGCCUUCGGGUUGUAAAGUACUUUCAGCGGGGAGGAAGGUGUUGUGGUUAAUAACCACAGCAAUUGACGUUACCCGCAGAAGAAGCACCGGCUAACUCCGUGCCAGCAGCCGCGGUAAUACGGAGGGUGCAAGCGUUAAUCGGAAUUACUGGGCGUAAAGCGCACGCAGGCGGUCUGUCAAGUCGGAUGUGAAAUCCCCGGGCUCAACCUGGGAACUGCAUUCGAAACUGGCAGGCUUGAGUCUUGUAGAGGGGGGUAGAAUUCCAGGUGUAGCGGUGAAAUGCGUAGAGAUCUGGAGGAAUACCGGUGGCGAAGGCGGCCCCCUGGACAAAGACUGACGCUCAGGUGCGAAAGCGUGGGGAGCAAACAGGAUUAGAUACCCUGGUAGUCCACGCCGUAAACGAUGUCUACUUGGAGGUUGUGCCCUUGAGGCGUGGCUUCCGGAGCUAACGCGUUAAGUAGACCGCCUGGGGAGUACGGCCGCAAGGUUAAAACUCAAAUGAAUUGACGGGGGCCCGCACAAGCGGUGGAGCAUGUGGUUUAAUUCGAUGCAACGCGAAGAACCUUACCUGGUCUUGACAUCCACAGAACUUUCCAGAGAUGGAUUGGUGCCUUCGGGAACUGUGAGACAGGUGCUGCAUGGCUGUCGUCAGCUCGUGUUGUGAAAUGUUGGGUUAAGUCCCGCAACGAGCGCAAC